rnacentral:rRNA from 1 species
AUCGAACGCUGGCGGCAGGCCUAACACAUGCAAGUCGAACGAGUGGCGGACGGGUGAGUAAUGUCUGGGAAACUGCCCGAUGGAGGGGGAUGACUACUGGAAACGGUAGCUAAUACCGCAUACCAUCGGAUGUGCCCAGAUGGGAUUGGCUUGUAGGUGAGGUAACGGCUCACCUAGGCGACGAUCCCUAGAUGGUCUGAGAGGAUGACCAGCAACACUGGAACGGAGACACGGUCCAGACUCCUAGGGGAGGCAGCAGUGGGGAAUAUUGGACAAUGGGCGAAAGCCUAAUGCGGCCAUGCCGCGGGUAUGAAGAAGGCCUUCGGGUUGUAAAGUACUUUCAGCGGGGAGGCGUUACCCGCAGAGGAAGCACCGGCUAACUCCGUGCCAGCAGCCGCGGUAAUAC